AGCGAACGCUGGCGGCAGGCCUAACACAUGCAAGUCGAACGAAGUCUUCGGACUUAGUGGCGGACGGGUGAGUAACACGUGGGAACGUACCUUUUGGUUCGGAACAACUCAGGGAAACUUGAGCUAAUACCGGAUGAGCCCUUAGGGGGAAAGAUUUAUCGCCGAAAGAGCGGCCCGCGUUAGAUCAGCUAGUUGGUGAGGUAAAGGCUCACCAAGGCUACGAUCUAUAGCUGGUCUGAGAGGAUGAUCAGCCACACUGGGACUGAGACACGGCCCAGACUCCUACGGGAGGCAGCAGUGGGGAAUCUUGCGCAAUGGGCGAAAGCCUGACGCAGCCAUGCCGCGUGAAUGAUGAAGGUCUUAGGAUUGUAAAAUUCUUUCACCGGGGACGGUAAUGACGGUACCCGGAGAAGAAGCCCCGGCUAACUUCGUGCCAGCAGCCGCGGUAAAAC
rnacentral:rRNA from 1 species